rnacentral:rRNA from 1 species
GACGAACGCUGGCGGCGUGCUUAACACAUGCAAGUCGAACGGAAAGGCCCUGCUUUUGUGGGGUGCUCGAGUGGCGAACGGGUGAGUAACACGUGAGUAACCUGCCCUUGACUUUGGGAUAACUUCAGGAAACUGGGGCUAAUACCGGAUAGGAGCUCCUGCUGCAUGGUGGGGGUUGGAAAGUUUCGGCGGUUGGGGAUGGACUCGCGGCUUAUCCGCUUGUUGGUGGGGUAGUGGCUGACCAAGGCUUUGACGGGUAGCCGGCGUGGGAGGGUGACCGGCCACAUUGGGACUGAGGUACGGCCCAGACUCCUAUGGGAGGCAGCAGUGGGGAAUAUUGCACAAUGGGCGGAAGCCUGAUGCAGCAACGCCGCGUGCGGGAUGACGGCCUUCGGGUUGUAAACCGCUUUCGCCUGUGACGAAGCGUGAGUGACGGUAAUGGGUAAAGAAGCACCGGCUAACUACGUG